UUAAGCGACUAAGCGUACACGGUGGAUGCCCUGGCAGUCAGAGGCGAUGAAGGACGUGCUAAUCUGCGAUAAGCGUCGGUAAGGUGAUAUGAACCGUUAUAACCGGCGAUUUCCGAAUGGGGAAACCCAGUGUGUUUCGACACACUAUCAUUAACUGAAUCCAUAGGUUAAUGAGGCGAACCGGGGGAACUGAAACAUCUAAGUACCCCGAGGAAAAGAAAUCAACCGAGAUUCCCCCAGUAGCGGCGAGCGAACGGGGAGGAGCCCAGAGCCUGAAUCAGUGUGUGUGUUAGUGGAAGCGUCUGGAAAGGCGCGCGAUACAGGGUGACAGCCCCGUACACAAAAAUGCACAUGCUGUGAGCUCGAUGAGUAGGGCGGGACACGUGGUAUCCUGUCUGAAUAUGGGGGGACCAUCCUCCAAGGCUAAAUACUCCUGACUGACCGAUAGUGAACCAGUACCGUGAGGGAAAGGCGAAAAGAACCCCGGCGAGGGGAGUGAAAAAGAACCUGAAACCGUGUACGUACAAGCAGUGGGAGCCUCUUAAUGGGGUGACUGCGUACCUUUUGUAUAAUGGGUCAGCGACUUAUAUUCUGUAGCAAGGUUAACCGAAUAGGGGAGCCGAAGGGAAACCGAGUCUUAACUGGGCGUUAAGUUGCAGGGUAUAGACCCGAAACCCGGUGAUCUAGCCAUGGGCAGGUUGAAGGUUGGGUAACACUAACUGGAGGACCGAACCGACUAAUGUUGAAAAAUUAGCGGAUGACUUGUGGCUGGGGGUGAAAGGCCAAUCAAACCGGGAGAUAGCUGGUUCUCCCCGAAAGCUAUUUAGGUAGCGCCUCGUGAAUUCAUCUCCGGGGGUAGAGCACUGUUUCGGCAAGGGGGUCAUCCCGACUUACCAACCCGAUGCAAACUGCGAAUACCGGAGAAUGUUAUCACGGGAGACACACGGCGGGUGCUAACGUCCGUCGUGAAGAGGGAAACAACCCAGACCGCCAGCUAAGGUCCCAAAGUCAUGGUUAAGUGGGAAACGAUGUGGGAAGGCCCAGACAGCCAGGAUGUUGGCUUAGAAGCAGCCAUCAUUUAAAGAAAGCGUAAUAGCUCACUGGUCGAGUCGGCCUGCGCGGAAGAUGUAACGGGGCUAAACCAUGCACCGAAGCUGCGGCAGCGACGUUUAUGCGUUGUUGGGUAGGGGAGCGUUCUGUAAGCCUGCGAAGGUGUACUGUGAGGUAUGCUGGAGGUAUCAGAAGUGCGAAUGCUGACAUAAGUAACGAUAAAGCGGGUGAAAAGCCCGCUCGCCGGAAGACCAAGGGUUCCUGUCCAACGUUAAUCGGGGCAGGGUGAGUCGACCCCUAAGGCGAGGCCGAAAGGCGUAGUCGAUGGGAAACAGGUUAAUAUUCCUGUACUUGGUGUUACUGCGAAGGGGGGACGGAGAAGGCUAUGUUGGCCGGGCGACGGUUGUCCCGGUUUAAGCGUGUAGGCUGGUUUUCCAGGCAAAUCCGGAAAAUCAAGGCUGAGGCGUGAUGACGAGGCACUACGGUGCUGAAGCAACAAAUGCCCUGCUUCCAGGAAAAGCCUCUAAGCAUCAGGUAACAUCAAAUCGUACCCCAAACCGACACAGGUGGUCAGGUAGAGAAUACCAAGGCGCUUGAGAGAACUCGGGUGAAGGAACUAGGCAAAAUGGUGCCGUAACUUCGGGAGAAGGCACGCUGAUAUGUAGGUGAAGUCCCUCGCGGAUGGAGCUGAAAUCAGUCGAAGAUACCAGCUGGCUGCAACUGUUUAUUAAAAACACAGCACUGUGCAAACACGAAAGUGGACGUAUACGGUGUGACGCCUGCCCGGUGCCGGAAGGUUAAUUGAUGGGGUUAGCGGUAACGCGAAGCUCUUGAUCGAAGCCCCGGUAAACGGCGGCCGUAACUAUAACGGUCCUAAGGUAGCGAAAUUCCUUGUCGGGUAAGUUCCGACCUGCACGAAUGGCGUAAUGAUGGCCAGGCUGUCUCCACCCGAGACUCAGUGAAAUUGAACUCGCUGUGAAGAUGCAGUGUACCCGCGGCAAGACGGAAAGACCCCGUGAACCUUUACUAUAGCUUGACACUGAACAUUGAGCCUUGAUGUGUAGGAUAGGUGGGAGGCUUUGAAGUGUGGACGCCAGUCUGCAUGGAGCCGGCCUUGAAAUACCACCCUUUAAUGUUUGAUGUUCUAACGUUGGCCCCUGAUCGGGGUUGCGGACAGUGUCUGGUGGGUAGUUUGACUGGGGCGGUCUCCUCCUAAAGAGUAACGGAGGAGCACGAAGGUUGGCUAAUCCUGGUCGGACAUCAGGAGGUUAGUGCAAUGGCAUAAGCCAGCUUGACUGCGAGCGUGACGGCGCGAGCAGGUGCGAAAGCAGGUCAUAGUGAUCCGGUGGUUCUGAAUGGAAGGGCCAUCGCUCAACGGAUAAAAGGUACUCCGGGGAUAACAGGCUGAUACCGCCCAAGAGUUCAUAUCGACGGCGGUGUUUGGCACCUCGAUGUCGGCUCAUCACAUCCUGGGGCUGAAGUAGGUCCCAAGGGUAUGGCUGUUCGCCAUUUAAAGUGGUACGCGAGCUGGGUUUAGAACGUCGUGAGACAGUUCGGUCCCUAUCUGCCGUGGGCGCUGGAGAACUGAGGGGGGCUGCUCCUAGUACGAGAGGACCGGAGUGGACGCAUCACUGGUGUUCGGGUUGUCAUGCCAAUGGCACUGCCCGGUAGCUAAAUGCGGAAGAGAUAAGUGCUGAAAGCAUCUAAGCACGAAACUUGCCCCGAGAUGAGUUCUCCCUGACUCCUUGAGAGUCCUGAAGGAACGUUGAAGACGACGACGUUGAUAGGCCGGGUGUGUAAGCGCAGCGAUGCGUUGAGCUAACCGGUACUAAUGAACCGUGAGGCUUAACCU
rnacentral:rRNA from 1 species